rnacentral:rRNA from 1 species
CAAUAGCGUAUAUCAAAGUUGUUGCAGUUAAAAAGCUCGUAGUUGGAUUUGUGGCUGUCACGGGCGGCCUAUCACUUAGUGUUAGUGCUUGCCUGUGUCGCCAUCCUUGGGUGGAGCCCGUGUGGCAUUAGGUUGUCGUGCGGGGGAUGCCCAACGUUUACUGUGAGAAAAUUAGAGUGUUCAAAGCAGGCUUAUGCCGUUGAAUAUGUUAGCAUGGAAUAAUAAGAUAGGACCUCGGUACUAUUUUGUUGGUUUGCGCACCGAGGUAAUGAUUAAUAGGGACAGUUGGGGGUAUUCGUAUUUCAUUGUCAGAGGUGAAAUUCUUGGAUUUCUGAAAGACGAACUACUGCGAAAGCAUUUACCAAGGAUGUUUUCAUUAA